UAUCGAUAGCGUAAAAGUUAACUCAAAUUUGUAUGGAGUUGAAACGUUUGCUUAUGUUUGUCGCUAGGGGUGCUGCUCCAACUGGAUAUAAGUUUGAGUUAACUUUUACGGUAUCGA
rnacentral:pre_miRNA from 9 species